rnacentral:rRNA from 1 species
GACGAACGCUGGCGGCGUGCUUAACACAUGCAAGUCGAACGGUAAGGCCCUUCGGGGUACACGAGUGGCGAACGGGUGAGUAACACGUGGGUGAUCUGCCCUGCACUUCGGGAUAAGCCUGGGAAACUGGGUCUAAUACCGGAUAGGACCACUGCCUGCAUGGGUGGUGGUGGAAAGCUUUUGCGGUGUGGGAUGGGCCCGCGGCCUAUCAGCUUGUUGGUGGGGUGAUGGCCUACCAAGGCGACGACGGGUAGCCGGCCUGAGAGGGUGACCGGCGACACUGGGACUGGGAUACGGCCCAGACUGCUGCGGGAGGCAGCAGUGGGGAAUAUUGCACAAUGGGCGCAAGCCUGAUGCAGCGACGCCGCGUGAGGGAUGACGGCCUUCGGGUUGUAAACCUCUUUCAGCACCGACGAAGCACAAGUGACGGUAGGUGCAGAAGAAGGACCGGCCAACUACGUGCCAGCCGCCGCAGUAA